rnacentral:tRNA from 1 species
GGGCCCGUGGCGCAGUCAGGACAGCGCGGCAGCCUCCUAAGCUGUAGGUCGUGGGUUCGAAUCCCACCGGGCCCG